rnacentral:sRNA from 1 species
UACUUGCGUUAGCGAUUGCAGUGUAAAUCCUUUUUAUGAGGCACGAUUAAAAAGAUUGUAACGUAAAGCGCGACCCUUG